rnacentral:rRNA from 1 species
AUUGAACGCUGGCGGCAGGCCUAACACAUGCAAGUCGAGCGGAGCGGCGGACGGGUGAGUAAUGUCUGGGAAACUGCCUGAUGGAGGGGGGUAACUACUGGAAACGGUAGCUAAUACCGCAUACUAUCAGAUGAGCCCAGGUGGGAUUAGCUAGUUGGUGGGGUAAAGGCCUACCAAGGCGACGAUCCGUAUCUGGUCUGAGAGGAUGAUCAGUCACACUGGAACUGAGACACGGUCCAGACUCCUACGGGAGGCAGCAGUGGGGAAUAUUGCACAAUGGGCGAAAGCCUGAUCCAGCCAUGCCGCGUGUGUGAAGAAGGUCUUCGGAUUGUAAAGCACUUUAAGUUGGGAGGCGUUACCAACAGAAGAAGCACCGGCUAACUUCGUGCCAGCAGCCGCGGUAAUAC